GUUUGAUGUGAAGGGUUUUUUUUUUUUUUUUCCCCUUCAGGCAUUGAAAAGGAAAAGAUGAAAUAUAUGUUUAUAUAUAACUGUGUUUCUCCAUACCUCACUGAAGUCAAAACCCAUUUAAUUGUUGUACCUCCCUUCCUCCGUGAUCUCCGACACUGGUAAAGUGGAAGGAACUCGGGUACCCUGCCACAGAAAAGUACUGGGACCGAGCAAGAGAAAGAGGUGCAGAAACGGGGGCCCAGAUGUUGAAAGGAGUGCCUAGGAUCAAGUUGGUUGGUAGGGACGGAACCGGGACUUGAGCCUAUCUUCCAGUUCCUAGUCUGGUGUUCUUUCUACUAUAUACGAGACGAGACGACGUCAGGGCCAAUGAGAUGCCCUUGGGUUUUAAAGGAGCUAAUACGUGAAAGUGAUGGCCACGUAUAUGACUUACUACCUGUUACAACUGUACCAGAACUGGCAAUAGUCCA